rnacentral:tRNA from 1 species
ACCUGACUGGCUCAGUUGGUAGAGCAUGAGACUCUUGAUCUCGGGGUUGUGAAUUUGAACCCCACAUUGGAUA